GACGAACCGAGCGAACGUUGUUCGGAAUCACUGGGCUUAAAGGGCGCGUAGGCGGGCUGCCGCGUCCGGGGUGAAAUCCCACGGCUCAACCGUGGAACGGCCCCGGGUACGGGCGGCCUCGAGGAAGGUAGGGGCGUGCGGAACUGUGGGUGGAGCGGUGAAAUGCGUUGAUAUCCGCAGGAACUCCGGUGGCGAAGGCGGCACGCUGGACCUUUUCUGACGCUGAGGCGCGAAAGCCAGGGGAGCGAACGGG
rnacentral:rRNA from 1 species